GUUCAUAAAUAGGACUGUUCAUAAACUGAGGUACCACCGUAGUGCCUUAAAUCAGGCUUCCUCAACCUCAGCCCUCCAGAUGUUUUGGACUACAAUUCCCAUCAUCCCUGACCACUGGUCCUGUUAGCUGGGGAUCAUGGGAGUUGUAGGCCAAAACAUCUGGAGGGCCGCAGGUUGGGGAUGCCUGCCUUAAAUGGUUUGGAACCAGGUUUGGAACCAGAGGCUUGACAACCAUAUGUCAGGAGUGCUCUGAUGGUGUUUCCUGCUUGGCAGGGGGUUGGACUCGAUGGCCCUUGUGGUCUCUUCCAACUCUAUGAUUCUAUGAUUCUAGGAUAUUUGAAGGGCUAUUUUCCCUCCCAUGAUGUUCAUUGUUGGAUGUCCUACUCCAUGUCCCUUUGCCUUCAACUACUCAGCUGGUCAGGACAUGUUACAGUGUCUUCUUAGUAGCGAGGCCAAGGUUGGGAAACUCCCUCCCACAGGAAGCCUGAUUGGAUCCUUCCUCCUGGCCUUCAGACAAAUACUGGAGACAUUCCUACUCCACCAGGUAUUUCAUCUGUCUCUAUUUUAGGAGGGGGGUUUUCUCCUGCUGUUACAGGUUGUUUUAAUAUUCCUUCCAUUUUUAUCUGUUAAUAAUGAAAGUUUUGGUUUUUUGUGUGUAGUGUUUUUCUUUAAGAUUAUUGUGAUGUGCCUUGGAGGACUUGCAACUGUGAUGUGCCUUGGUGACCUUGUUGUCAAAAGAUGGGACAGGGACAUUUUUAAACAAAGUGUGGUGACCAGUUUUGAUAGAAUAUCAUAUGCAGUGAAAAACUCUAAUGGUUUAUAGCAAAAUGAUGGCAUAUAAAUAAGGAGAAAGGCAAAGAAGACACUGGAGCAAGGUUGGCUGUUUCUGCAGGCCAUCUACCACCAGUUGCCCAGUGAGAAGAAUCCUGAUGACUUUGGAUAUCACUCAUGAGGCAACCUGGAAGGGAUCUGCAUCCUGGAAAGCGAGUUAUAAGGAACUGCAAUAAUAAACAAAUAAAGUCUCCACAUCCAAGAUAGCCAGGAUUCUAUACCCUGUGAGAAUGACAGACUGAAUUUGGUUAUUUAUAAGUCACCCUUUUGAGGCAUAUCUACUAAAGGUGGCAAAGAGCAAUAAUACAACCAUAAAAAUGCAAUAACAUAGUGAAAUAUCACUUCCACCUGGAGCUGGCUUGUGUGGCUCCUGUGGACCAAUCAGAGUGCUGCAUUCUGGACCCUAUUGUUCUAGGACCAAUCAGACUGCUGCCUUUUGGAUUCUAUUCACUCAGUACAUAACACAUACUGUAACACUGUAUGCAUUCCAGCAUAAUAUAGCACUGGCUUACCCAGACUUUGCACAUUAUGGCUUACUGGAACAAUGGUAUACUCCUAGAAAGAAGCUUGCAGGGUCUUUGUAUCUUUACAAGCAGCGCUGAGCUAAGCCAAAGUUUCAUUUAAUGUUCCAGCCCAACCCAGACUGGUGGUUAAGCUCUCUCCUCGUUAAUCACAAAUAGUAGUGAAAAUUUGGCUAUGAAUCAUGAACCCGGGUUUGGAAAACAUACUAAACCAAACCUCGACUUAGUUCAGUAUGGAACAAGAAUUUUUAAAAGGAGCAAGGUGGCUACAAGCUGCUCUCCAAGAGUCCACACAUUUGUGUGGUUCCAGUAAGUCAUAGAUCGGCUUACCAUGUCAUACAAACCACAUCAAAAUACAAAAGAAAUGGCAAUACAAUUCAGACAGCAUAAAACCAUUUCCAAAGCAAGCACAGUAAAACAAUAAAACACUAGCAUAGCAUCAGCUAAAACACAUCAGCUUACAGCUAUCUGAAACUGGUGGGUUUUUAAGCUUUAUUAAAUACUACAACUGAUAGUGGCAACCAUAAAUUUAUUGGGAGGCAGUUCCUUUGGGAGGCUGUGUGCCCAUCCAGCACCUCCCUACCUAGAUUACCCAGUUUCUUUACCCACAACAACUUUGUCUUGUCUGGUUUAAGCUUCAGUUUGCUCACUUUCAUCCAUCCCAAAACUACCCUUUAGACAUGUGUUUAGAAAUUCCACAGCCUCUCUGGGAUUUGCAGGUAUGUUGCUGACACUGUUCCCCAGUGGCUUCAUGUAUAUAUCAACUAUCUUCAACCUUUUCAGACCCAGCACCCACUUUUAACACUAACGUGCAUUCGGGAACCCUUUUCUUGAAGCAUAUAUUUGCAAUAUAUUUCCACCUUGGAUCAGGCUGUGACCCACUAGGAUCCCAACCCACCAGUUGAAGAUCAGUGGCUGUGGAUGAUAAAAACUGAGAAGGUGGGAGAGAGAUGAAACCUUGGCACCCUGUUAUGCCAAAGGCCACAGGAUGAAACAGAAAUUUCCUCGGGACGUCAAUGUUGUCCCCCAAAUAAUGUAACAUCUGAGAACUGACUGCAGAUAGCCAGACAUUUCCCAUUUCCCCUCCACAAGGAGCUCAAGAGUGGUACAAAUGGUACUCGCCCUCCUCAUUUAACAUUUCAGUCCUCCUCCACAUAACAUUUCAGUCUCCUAGACACCUUGCUACUGGUCUCAAACCUGCCUCUCCCUCCCCCCCCCCAUUAUAUUUUUGUGGUGGUUAUUUUCUCAUUGAGGGUUGCCUAUAUAGGGUUGGGGUGUUGCCUGCUUUUUCAGCUUGUCUUCAGUUUGUUUUAGGGGAGUGUAGGUAGUUUGCCUGUUUAGCAUGGGUUCUGAGCAUCAUCCAUUUUUCUUCUGUGAAAUUAAUACGUUGUGGUGUCCACAACAGUUUCUUAAAUUUCUCAUGCUUUUUUUUUUUUAAAGGAGUUCCCUGUUUUAAGGUGUUGCAAGACAGUUCUUUGCUAUUUUUGCUGCAAGAGACUAAUGUGUCUGCCAUUUGGAAGUGGUGAAUAAAGUGAUCCAAACCAGCACAGUUCAACAAGGAAAAAAGGUGGAAAAUCACUUCACUCAGGUUAUGGCUAUGGGGGGGGGGCGUACCUUAUGGACUUUAAACUACAAGCUCAUUGCAAACAGAAUAGUGAAAAUCAAACCUGUUAAACACCAUGCCCGAAAUUCAAGCGUUCUAACCUACUUGUCUCCAUCUGCUAACAUGCUAAAGCACAACUGUAUUAUUGCAACACUUCUCCAGUAAUGACCAUAUUGAGUGGGUGUCAUAUGAUCAUAAAUAAGGGAAGGGGGAGGUCAUCUGUGCAGCCACAUGAGGAAAGUGGGAAAGCGGAUGAACCUGUGGUCCACAUGCAGUUUGGGGAAUAGGAAAUGAAUACGAGAAAACUUGCUCCAGGCAGGGCUCUCCGCUUCUCAGUUUUCUGAGCAGCAACAUCCAUCAAAAUUGACACAGGGACUGUGCCAAUUUUCAGGUGGAAUAAUGAAAGGGCAUUACCGUAAUGUUGGCUACUGUGGCAAUUAAAGGGCAGGAAGAAAAUGUGCCCGGGCCUGUGAUGGAAUUAGAAUAUCGCAGCCCAAUUUAUAAGCCAUCCAAAUUGCUCCGUGUUUACAGGCUGAUUGUUUGCAACAGCAUUAUUCAUAUGGCAGCCUUUAAGUGCUGCUCUGGAUGUGAUGCAUAAUUCCAAGGUGCUCCAGUGCCACUGAAGCAUGAAUUAAUGGCUGUGUCGCCGAACGUUAUCAGAAGGAUUUUAAUGUUUUUUUAUGGAGAUGAGAGUAUUACAUAUGUAAGCAAAACUGUAUGGUGUAAAAUGUUAGGCUGUCAUGUAGAUCAACGGAAGUUAAUGUGGUGGCAAGGGGAAAGGAGAUUAUUCUGUGCUGAGGAGAGCGCAUGCCUGCAACCUCAGGUUGCUUUCGGAGUUUUCAAGUUCUUAUUACUGCACUUAAAAAGUCCACACAGUAUUUCCCCUACUAAAUUUCAGCUCCAGAAUAAAGUGCUGAGAAGCAGCAAAGGCUCGCAAAACUGUAAUGCAGCCACCAAUCAACCGUUUACUUCCUUCCUAGGUGGUGAUAACAAUCCCAUUAAAAGGUACUAUCUCUGCCUCUAUGUGCAACAAUAUAAAAUUGUUUCAAAGCAUGUACAUUUAUACACAAGCUGUUAUGCUGGAUUCUCUGCAAAGUGCAUCUGUUGAUAAGGGCAUUCUUCCUACCCGCUGCAAUAACUUAUUUAUAGACAAUUUGCCAUUCACUCAAAAGAAAGGACCCAGAAAACCUUGCAGAACUGCAUUCUUAGGAAGCACAAGCACACCACUAAAAUGGAACCAGCCUUUGUGCAGCAAUUUUGUAUGAGCAUAUGUGUUUAUUUACCUGCUGAAGUAUCAAGAUGAAUGGAUGAGCUCAUUAAUUUCAUUGCAAGUCCCUGGGUUCUAGUACUAUGGGAUAAGGAGAAAAAGUUUUCGCUGUUCAUGUUCUUUCCAGUUUUUAUGUUAUAAACCUCCACCAUGUCUUCCCUUAGUAACUUUUUAAAAUUUAAAGUCUGAAUGCUUUAGUGACUCUAAAGUUAAUAAUGCUUCUUACCUAUUUAACUGGGAUAGAAGUUAAGAUAAUGGGUUUGUAAUGUUUAGGUCCUUCCCUAGAUUAGUGUUUUUUUAAAACAGUAUUUUUGACUAUUGACUAUUUUCCAGUAUUAUGUAAAGAGAUUGUUUUCUGCAUAUUUAUUCUGCAUAUCUCGGGUAUAUAUGCUCCUCAAACUCAGUAACGACUUGAUUUUUAAACUUUAUAUUUUUCUGUCUAAACACAGAACUUUCCUAAUGGCCUGUCUAAAUAAAAUUUGUUAUUCUGUUUCAUAUUUGACAACUUAUCACAUCCAGAAUCUAUUGCAAGUAUUUUUUAAUCCUAGGGACCAUACUUCAAAUAAUGUGUGAAUAUCAGCCUUGGGGAAAGAAUAAGGAUUUGGCACCAUACUAUUUCCCUAACUUCCUUGGUAUGAUUCACUGGGGUGGGGAUGCAGGGUGGUAUAAAUAUAUGGGUAGAUCUUGAUGAGGCUGCAGUCUGCCCAGCACCAUUCCUGAUUUGUCUUGGCUCAUCACUGACCUCUCAUAAGGCAUGCUCUUUAAAUAUCAAAAUCUGGUCUUCAAAACAUUACGCAUCUGCCAGAGCCUCCCUUACAGCUAUGAUGUGCUUGUAAAGGGACUUGCAGUUUUCCAAGUGGCAGAUCAGAUAUAAUGAACACAAUUACAAUAAAGGGGCAUUAAAAUAAAAUAAGGAUGGAGAUUAUAAUGAUAGAAAUAACACUUCCAUGAGGAUUUCACACUGUCCUCCCAACCACACAGAAAGAAGGGUAGGCAGUUGUCCUGCAGGGCUGGACAAAUAAGUAUUGCUGCCUGAGGCAGAGCAGAAAAUGCUGCCCCCUGCCCCUCCCAGUCAAAGUGAGCAUGCACAGAGUUGGUUUUGAACGAAUGUUUUAUUUCAGACCAGUACCUAGAGCAAAUAUAAUGCACACUAUACCAGCCUCCUACAGGGUCCACCAAAACCAAAGAUCUGGGGUUUGCCCAGAGAUAAAUAUUUGCCUUUAGCUGUAGUGUUUUUAGAGGGUUCUUGGUACAUUUUACAUCAGAGAAAAAAGGUUCCACAACUGUUAUCAAAUCUCAUCUAGACAUUGAGCGAACAUUCAGCCAGUAGCCUUACGUAAAUAGCUAGUAAUUUGUCUGAAGAAAUAUUUCAUGUCAAGUAGAACGUAUCUGUGAGACUGACAAGAACACUGACCAUUGUACAUGUAGAAUGGAUGGGAAUUAAUACAGACACUGACAUUGAUCUUCUAUCUCUAAUAAAUAUUGAUAAUCCAUCCCUAAUAAAUAAUUUAUCUUAUGAAUCUAAAUAACUUGGCACUUCUUCUCAAAUUCGGUAGCAUGAAUUGCACUAUUUAUUUAAAGUAUUAAGAUGUUUAUUAAGUGUGCCCCAACUAAUUCACACUUCAAAAAAAAAUCUAGUAAAACAGUAAAAACAUCAAUAUUUGUACUUAUAUUCAUUUAUUUUUGUUCUGUUUUAUUUUAAACCUUUAUAACCCACUCUUCAAAAAAAAAAAAAAGCCUUUCCCAUGGUGGGUUACAAAAACAAAAGCCAUAACAGAUUCAAACAUUAAAAGCAGCAGAUAAAAAUAGAACCUUUUUUAAAAAAUAAGAAACCAUCUUCAGGGAAUAAAAUUUCACAUUUUAAAAGGUCUGGGAAAAUAAAAAAGAACUUUGCCUGGUGCUGAAAUGACAUCAGAGCAGGCGCCAGGUGAGCAAUAAAAAUAACUUAAUCAGCAGCACCAAAAGAGAAGCAGUCUAAAGAUCAAAUAAAAUCAGAAAAACAAAACAAUAAAAGAACAGCAGCCGCAGAUCACCCAUUAAAUUCUUGGGGAAUAAAAAGGGCUUAACCAGUUGUCUAAAGUGAUAAAAAUGCUAGAGCCACCUGAGUUCUUCCCCAGGGAGAUAGUCCAUAACCUAGCCUUUGCCAACAUGGUGCCCUGCAGAUAUUACAAAACGUGUUGUAGUGCAAAACAUCUGGAGAGCACCAAGUUGGUGGUGGUUGGCCUAACCUGUUUAUCCCCCUAAUAGCAUCUCCAGGUUUGAGGGGCCCGUGGUAUUUCCCCAGAUGUUAAUGGGGGGGUUCCCCCAUUGAAGCAGGUGGCAGGUAGCCCUGUCCUCUCUCUUAGCUCCCUCUCCAGUUUAUUUCCGCCAGCUGCAGGGGUGAGAAUGAGGAGGGUGGCAGUUGCAAAUGGCUGCCGCUGAAACUGCCCACAUGCGCCAAGCCAUACUAUAUAGCAUUAUUCAGGGCUUUUCUAAUGCUCACAUGACACUCAGCAGUCAGCGGACACUCAGGGAUGUCAGCAGUAGUGGGAUCUUGACAGCUGCCCAAGGAUGUUGUGGCAGUGGCCCCAAAGACCGCAAUAAAUGUGGCAAUGUGUACCCCUGUAAAUCCUUGAGUGUGCUUCUAAUAGAGAACUUAUGGUAGCCUGGUACUUUAUGAAACUGGUUAUUUUGCAAGUUGCCACCCCUCAUUGGGGCAGAAAUACAGCUAAUAUGUGAAUCACAAAGAUACAGCUCAAAGCUAGAGCAUAAGUUGCUACAUGGUGCAAAUGGCUACACGUAACACAGGUUCCCAACAUGUACACUAACACAAUGUAACAGAACACGGUGAGAAUCAGAACUUAAUCGGCAGAAAUUGCCAGUGCUUAUUGCGGUUUUGUAUUAAAUGAGGUAACGAUGUAUAUGAUUGGUGGAAAUUGAAAUGCUUUGUUUGAAAUUUUAUAAAUACCACUGCCUGGACCACCGGGCGGGGUUGCAGUUUUGCGAAAUGAUCUGACUGUAACCUAUUGCUUUGCAAUAAACAAUGUUGGACUCCUAACUCCUCAUGUUUCUGAGUUUUAUUGGUGUAAACUCAGGAGAUAAGCCAUUUUCUGGCUUACAACCUUUUGGUGCCAUGACUCGGAUUUGAACCGAGGUUCCUGCAGCCACAACGCAGAGUACUAACCACUAUACGAUCAUGGCUUACAACAAUGUCACCUUGGGCGCCACCACAGAAAAGGCCCUCACCACAGCCACUGUUGUGGAGGGUUGAGGUGAUUAAAAAAUCAAUCCUCCUGUCAGACUGGGAAUAUCCUCUCACUCACCCAGUUUAGGAUAUUCCACCAUCCUUCAGCACAGUUUCUUUUCUUUCAGCAAAGCUAGCAGCUCACGUAUAUGUCAAGCAAAGCUUUAAUAAUAAAGAAAACUGUAACACAAUAACAUACUAUCUAAGAGGAACUAAAACAACAUGGUGAGGCAAGGAUGACAGUUGGUCUCUCU